UUCGUAAGCAACGCGAAGAACCUUACCAGGUCUUGACAUCCCGAUGCUAUUUCUAGAGAUAGAAAGUUACUUCGGUACAUCGGUGACAGGUGGUGCAUGGUUGUCGUCAGCUCGUGUCGUGAGAUGUUGGGUUAAGUCCCGCAACGAGCGCAACCCCUAUUGUUAGUUGCCAUCAUUCAGUUGGGCACUCUAGCGAGACUGCCGGUAAUAAACCGGAGGAAGGUGGGGAUGACGUCAAAUCAUCAUGCCCCUUAUGACCUGGGCUACACACGUGCUACAAUGGUUGGUACAACGAGUUGCGAGUCGGUGACGGCGAGCUAAUCUCUUAAAGCCAAUCUCAGUUCGGAUUGUAGGCUGCAACUCGCCUACAUGAAGUCGGAAUCGCUAGUAAUCGUGGAUCAGAAUGUCACGGUGAAUACGUUCCCGGGCCUU
rnacentral:rRNA from 1 species